UGCAGCAGCACAGGAGCCAGCAAACAGAGCUGUAAACAGGGGAGCUUGCAAGGAGAGUUUUGGGGGGAAGACUAAGAGAGCCAGGUAGAGGAACAGACAGGCUAGUGAAGGGAGUGUGUGGUGUUCUGGCAGUGUUUUGGUGCUCAUUGGGGGUGGUUUUGCUGUGGAUGGUGGUGUUUUGUUUUCGUUUGUGUUUCCCAGACUAACAGGAUUUAGGUGGGAAGGCGAUGGCAGAUACAGAGGCAGCUGUGGGAGUGACCCAAGCAGUGCAAGACACAAUGAAGAUGACUGGAUGUAGAAGCUCCGGCAUGUACGUGAUCCUAGAAGGGGUACCUGAAAAGAGUUUAGUCUGCAUGAAGUGCUGCCUGAUAGAGCUGGUGGAAGAAAAGAUCCGAGGACUGGAGAUGCAGAUGGAAACUCUGGACUGGCUGUAAGACACGAUAGCACAGCUGGAUCUAUUU